AGGCCUUGCGCUCUUUGAGCGGCCGAUAUCAGAUUAGCUAGUUGGUGAGGUAAAGGCUCACCAAGGCGACGAUCUGUAGCGGGUCUGAGAGGAUGAUCCGCCACACUGGAACUGAGACACGGUCCAGACUCCUACGGGAGGCAGCAGUGGGGAAUUUUGGACAAUGGGGGCAACCCUGAUCCAGCCAUGCCGCGUGAGUGAAGAAGGCCUUCGGGUUGUAAAGCUCUUUCGGCCGGGAAGAAAUCGCAUGGGCCAAUACCCUGUGCGGAUGACGGUACCGGCAUAAGAAGCACCGGCUAACUACGUGCCAGCAGCCGCGGUAAUACGUAGGGUGCGAGCGUUAAUCGGAAUUACUGGGCGUAAAGCGUGCGCAGGCGGUUUUGUAAGACAGGCGUGAAAUCCCCGGGCUCAACCUGGGAACUGCGUUUGUGACUGCAAGGCUAGAGUACGGCAGAGGGGGGUGGAAUUCCACGUGUAGCAGUGAAAUGCGUAGAGAUGUGGAGGAACACCAACGGCGAAGGCAGCCCCCUGGGUCGAUACUGACGCUCAUGCACGAAAGCGUGGGUAGCAAACAGGAUUAGAUACCCUGGUAGUCCACGCCCUAAACGAUGUCAACUAGGUGUUGGGUGGGUAAAACCAUUUAGUACCGGAGCUAACGCGUGAAGUUGACCGCCUGGGGAGUACGGCCGCAAGGUUAAAACUCAAAGGAAUUGACGGGGACCCGCACAAGCGGUGGAUGAUGUGGAUUAAUUCGAUGCAACGCGAAAAACCUUACCUACCCUUGACAUGUCCAGAAGCCUGAAGAGAUUUGGGUGUGCCCGAAAGGGAACUGGAACACAGGUGCUGCAUGGCCGUCGUCAGCUCGUGUCGUGAGAUGUUGGGUUAAGUCCCGCAACGAGCGCAACCCUUGUCGUUAAUUGCCAUCAUUCAGUUGGGCACUUUAACGAGACUGCCGGUGACAAACCGGAGGAAGGUGGGGAUGACGUCAAGUCCUCAUGGCCCUUAUGGGUAGGGCUUCACACGUCAUACAAUGGUCGGUACAAAGGGUUGCCAAGCCGCGAGGUGGAGCCAAUCCCAGAAAGCCGAUCGUAGUCCGGAUCGUAGGCUGCAACUCGCCUGCGUGAAGUCGGAAUCGCUAGUAAUCGUGGAUCAGCAUGUCACGGUGAAUACGUUCCCGGGUCUUGUACACACCGCCCGUCACACCAUGGGAGCGGGUUCCGCCAGAAGUAGGUAGCCUAACCGCAAGGGGGGCGCUUACCACGGCGGGGUUCGUGACUGGGGUGAAGUCGAAACAAGGUA
rnacentral:rRNA from 1 species